rnacentral:rRNA from 1 species
CACUAGCGAAUUUCUAAGUUGUUGCAGUUGAAAAGCUCGUAGUUGGUGGUGUUGCGGAUAACGUACGAGGGCCUUUGGUUCCGAGUCGACAAUCUGCAUUCUUGGGUGCCUUUGUUGUACCCUCAAUAACUGUGAUUUAAGAGGAGCGUUUCAAGCGGGCGUUGGCUCUUACUUCUAAGCAUGGUAUUAUAUCAUAUGAUCGAGUGUGAUUUCUUAAAAUCGGUAUUCACGCCUGAUAAUGAGCAACAGGGCCGGUUGGGGGCAUUCGUACUUGCGCAUCAGAGGUGAAAUUCUAUAACUGCGCAAUGACGGUCCGCUGCGAAAGCGUCUGCCAAGGACGGUUUCAUUAA